UAAGAAUAUCACUACUUUGUUUAUAUUUGUGUCCUUGGGAUGUUGAGAGGGAGUGAGAAUACUAAAAUAUGUGUUACAAUUUUCUGUUGUUUUACAUAUUUUUUAUUAAUCCUGAAAAUAUCAGCUGAAGAAUUACUUGUAGUAAUCCUUAAAUAAUUUUGUUCUUAAUGACUUCUUAGACAGAACCUUCUAUGUUCACUGACUAGAUCAAAGUAACUUUGUGCUUAUUGCCAACCCCAUGUGAGAAUGUAUUAAAUAAGGAGAUAGUUCUAAGUACAUUCUAGUAAUACAUAGAAAUUAGAUAUAUUAACUUUUUGUUUGUUAAUUAUGAAAGCAUAAUUUAUAAAUUAAAGAAAAACGAUGUAGCCUCAUGUUUGACAUUAUCUAGGGAAGUGCUUUUUUAUUUAACAGUAAAAUUUUAGCCAUUGUCUUUUUAUUGGUAUAUUUUGUCAUACAACAUUUAUUUAGUACCUACUCUAUGGCAGACAGUGUUCUAGGACAUUUUCUUUUAGGAUACUUUUAUUCUGUUAUUCAUUAUGUACAUUUAAAUACCUGUUUAUUAUGACAAAAAAUGUGUUCAAAAGUUUGAUCAGGGUUUAGCUGCUUAAUUUCAUAUAGUGCCUUUGGAGAAAUAAGAUUAUAUAAAAGACUUGUUCCCUAAGUAAACAUAGUUUAAUGAUUGUUUUAAAGUUUUGAAUGGAAAAUUGUUAAAUUAGUAAGUAUUUAUGAAAUCAAAAGCAUUUCAACUGUUUACACAAGUUUAUAUUAUAAGUCCUACCCUGACAUAACAGGUGGUUUGGACAUUCUUAUAUGGCUGACUCAGCCACAGAACUCAUUUGGGUGAAGGAGUGGUCCAGAUUUGUCCAAAUAUGUAAGCAUCAGAUAAAGAAAAAUCUCUUCCACAGACUGUACCCUCAUUUUUCCAGGAAUGUGUAUGGUUGGACAUAGUGGGAACAAGUUUAAACAGUGGGGACUUCUGCUUUCAGGAAGAUGAGGCAAUCCCUAUUCCUCCCACUAAAACAGCUGAAAACCUUGAGCAUUAUAUAUAAAAAAAACUUAAGAAGACUGAAAGGUGGAGAGAAGGCAUACACACUAGGGACCUCAGCACCCAAGGAAUAGCACGGUGGUGAGUUCCGUGGGUUUUCUUUUUGCCUAAUAUAUCCCAGACUUGGAACUGAAGAAACUGGCAGCCUGGAAACAACAAUGGGCACAGACUGAAAAACUCUGUUCUUUUUAACUGAAGGACCAGGAGGAAAAAGCCUAGCAAGCCAGAAAACUUUUAGACCAUAACUGCUGUGCUCUAACCAAACACCACAGAAAAAAAUGGCCUUACAUCAACUUGUGCCUGCCAGUGCUGAGUGGGGAGCCUAGAUUCUCUGUUCCUUCACCACCUCCCAGGGGUAAGGAGGUGAGCCCCUCCUGCUUGUGUCAGUGUUGGGGUGUAGUACUGAGAUACUCCUGCCCCUUACAGCCAAGGUUAUAUCAGCAGAGGCCUACUGAACAGCCAGAAUUCCUUUCCCUACCCAGCACUAACAAGGAGCUUCCUCCAUUCAGAUGUCCACAUACGCCAAGUGGGAAACGUGGACUUCUAAUGCCAUCUAGCACUAAUAUGGCAGAGCCCUUUCCCCAGAUGGUACAGUGUCAAAGGAAGCAUUUAAACUAGAAGGUUUAAAUAUGGUCCAGAAUCUCAUAACACCCCAAAUAUCCAGGUUUCAAUUAAAAAAUCACAAAUCUCAGUUUGAGUUAAAAAAGAAAACCAGUAGGCAUAAACACUGAAGUGACAAAGAUGUUAGGAUUAUUUGAUAAAUAUUUUAAAGCAGCUAUCAUAGAAACACUUCAGUGAGCAAUCCUAAGCACACUGAAAACAAUGGGAAUGUAGAACAUUUUAGGGAAUCAGAGAUAUAAAGAAAUGAAAUUUUGAGACUGAAAACUGCAAUAAGCAAAAUUGAAAACCCAGUGAAUAGGCUGAACAGCUGAAUGAAAGAGACAGUAGAUCGAAUCUGUGAACUUGAAGAUAGAACGAUAGAUAUUACCCAAUCUAAACAGCAGAGAGAGGAUAGACUGAAAAAAAAUAAAAUAUAUACCCUCAAGGACUUAAGGGACUAUAACAAAAGGUUUGACACUGUGUGAUGGAAUACUGGAAGGAGAGCAAAAGGUAUAACACUUGUGUCAUUAAAGUCCUGGAAGGAGAUUAAAAAGGAAAAAGAAGACAGGUGCAAAGAAAUAAUGGAUGAACAUGUUCCAAAUGUAGCAAAAGGCAUAAACCUACAGAUCUGAGAAGCUGAGCAAACCCCAAACAAAGUAAGCCAGAAGAAAUCAGGAAUGGCCAUGUUAGUGUCAGAUAAAGAAGACUUUAGAGCAAAGAAAAUUACCAGAGACAGAGAGGGGUAUUAUAUUGUAAUAAAAGUGUCAAACAACCAAGAAGACAACAAUCCUAAAUGUGUAUGCAGAAAAUAACACAGCUGCCAAAAUACAUGAAGGAAAAACUGUCAGAACUAAAAGGAAAAAGACAAAUCUACAAUUACAGUUGCAGACUUCAGUAUGCCUCCCUGUCUUACUAACUGAUAGGUAGAACAACUAGACAGAAAUAGCAAAGAUGUAGAACUCAGCAUCACCAUCAACCAACAGAUCUAAUGAACAUUGCUAAAGUGCUUCACCCAACAGCAGCAGAAUACAUGUCCUUUUCAAGUGUCCAUUAAAUAUAUACAAGGAUAGACCAUAUACUCUGGACUAUAAGACCUCAAAAAAUUUAAAAUCAUGGAAUGUGCGAUUUUUUUCAACAACAGUGGAAUCAGAUUAGCGGACAGGAAAAUCACGAAACACUUGGAAAAUAACGCUUCUAAAUGAUCCAUGGGCCAAAGAGGAAGUCUCAAGGGAAAUUUUAAAAAUAUUUUGAACUUAAUGAAAAUUAAAACAUAACCAAAUUUUUUUGAGGCACAACUAAAGCAAUACCGAGAGGGAAACUUACAGUAUUAAAUGCUUAUACUAAAAGACAGGAAAAGGGCCAAAUGAGUAAUCUAAGCUUCCACCUAACCUGAAAAAAGAAGAGCAAAAGAAACCCAAAGCAAGCAGAAGGAAGGACAUAAUGAAGAAAAGCAGAGAAAUCGGGUAACAUUGAAAAUGGGAAAACAGUAGAGGAAGUCAACAAAACAAAGGGCUGGCUCCUUGAAAAGACAAUAAAAUUGACAAAUAGCAAGACUGAUAGAGAAAAAGGGAAAACAAAAAUUUCCAGUAUCAGGAGUGAAAAGGAUAUAACUAUAGAUCUUGCAGAUACCAAAGGGAUCACAACAAACAACUCUGCACACGUAAAUUUGGCAACUUAGAUAAACCAAUUCUUUGAAAAGAACUCAGUAGGAAUUAGAUAAUUUGAAUAGCCCUGUAACUGUUAAGGUAAUUACAUUUUCAAUUUAAAACCUCUUGAAAAGGAAAUCUCUGAGUCUGGAAUGUUUCAGUGGAUACUUGUAUCAAACAUUCGAAGAAUAGUGAACACCAGGUCUAUACAAUUUCUUUUCAAAAAAAAGAAAAAAAGAGGAGGAAACCCAUAGUUGUGUGACACUAUUCUUACCUGAUAUUAAACCAAGAUAGUUCUUUAAAAAAAUCAGUAUCCCUCAUAUGUAUAGUUGGGAAAGUUCUUUCCAAAAUAUUAGCAAAUGGAAUUAAGCAAUUUAUAAGAAGAAUUAUACAUUGUGACUAAGUGGGGUUGAUUUCCAGGAUUCAAGACUAGUCAAUAUUUUAAAAAUCAAUGAGUAUAAACUUCCAUAUUAACAGGCAAAAAAAGAAAAUUCACAUGAUCAUAUCGAUUUAGAAAAGGCGCUUAAUAAAAUUCAAAAUUCACUUAUAAUAACUCAUUACUAGGAAUAGAGGGAAAUUUCCUCAACUCGAUUAAAAAACAUAUCUAAAAUAUCUAUAGCUAACAUCAUACUUCAUGGUGAGAGACUGCCUUCUUCCUAGGGAAUGGCAAGCUUGUCUAGGCAAGGAUGUCUGCUCCUAUCACUCCUUUUCAGCAUAGUCCUAGAAGUCCUAGCCAACACAGUAAGAUAAGAAGAGGAAAUGAAAAGCACUACUAGACAGAGUGAGACUCUGUCUCAAAAAAAAAAAAAAA